CGCCAAUAGAAUACUGCCAGUGUAGUUAUUUUAUGCGUGGAACUGUCAGGCACGGCUUGUCUGUAAAAGCAGCUGCAGCAUUUAACACAGCCUCAACAGAUGUAAGGACUCACAGCAAUGUUGGACAAGUUCUACGACCCUUAAGAAACAUUGCUUAGCUGGACAAUUGUGCAUGACGACAUGCAGUUAAGCACAGGGCAGAUGAAUUAUUGUUCUAUGCAUCUCCUUGGCCAGAACGCAAAUUUUCCAGGAAUUUCGUGGAUGUCGACAUCCAUGCUUGUACUUGCCAUCCUG